rnacentral:piRNA from 1 species
UGGGGAUGACGGACUGUAGUUGAUGGGUUA